rnacentral:lncRNA from 1 species
CCCGUCUUAGUCUCUACUUUCUUCUUUACUUCUUCAUUCCACCACCAAUCCCCCUGCCGCUGAUCGGCUCGGCCCUUCGAGAUAGCCAACACCAUUCUAGUUGUCUUCUUGAUACGCCUAGCAGCCCUAUCCCACAUACCAUCCACAUCACCUCUAUAUUCCCACACCCAUAUCUCUGUCAGCUUCUCACCUAUCUCCAAUGCACUAACUGGAGUCAAGCCCCUCCCUCC